UUGUACUAGGGGGAUCUGCAACACCAGAUUAUUAUUGGUCAAUCACUGUUCUCUCUCCUAAACUAAGAUGGAAUGGAUUUCUUUAAUAUUCAAGACUGUGAGCUAAGAUCAUCAGUGAAGACUCAGGAGUUCAAGCUUCCUGGAGUGGAUUCUUCAGAUUUCCAGACAACUAUUUUCUCC